CUCUGGUCGUGUCCGCACCAGAGACUGCGCUCGCCCAGCUGCUCCUCAUUUCGGAAGCGGGCUCUGGGCAGGGUGCAGCAGCCCAGGCGACGGGCGAUCUCCGAUAGUGCGACUCUUUUCUCUGCUCCAGUCUGGGCAAACAACACAGAAGUGGGGAUUCUGACCCAGCCCUGCCUUUUGCUGGCGGUGCUGUUUCCUAGGUUCUGCUGGAGGAUACGAAGAUUUCAUCAGCUGAAGUCAGUUUCUUCAGCACCCAAAGGAAAGGUUUACUGGUAAAUAAACCGCAGAAGCAGGUACCAGUGUGCCUUAAGAACACUUUGCCCUCGCUAUUUGCAGUGCUGCAGUGGAAACACCACGGUCUGUCUGUCCCAGCAAACCCCGCCGAGGUGUAGCACAGCAGGGCUGCAUUGGAACUCGCAGGAAAUCCCUCAUUCUGGGAGACCCACAUGGGAGCAGCUUGGUUAUUUGGAUCUGUUCCUGAAGAAUCUGCUUCAGUUUUCCUGACACUAGACAGUAUUUUUGGAUGUCAAGACUGUCAGGGUCCUGGGCCCAAGGAUUUCUCGUAAGAUUCCCAGACCUCCACUACAAGCACACUGCUUCACUUUUUCUAGUGUUACCUUUGGAGGUCCUCGGGCUUUUAACUUUUCUUGAAGAAUGGUGUAUUUUCUGUUAACGUCAGAAAAUUCCUGUAACAAAAUGCCAUUCCUUCAUGUAAGAACAUCUCACAAGUAACCUGGUGUACCAAAGGAGAUUUUUAUGCUUUCUUUUGAAUACCCUAUUUGAACUAAACUUUAAAUAUCUCUUUCUCUUAAAUCUUAAAAAAUCCAUAAUGUGUGUACCUCAAACAAUGCUUUGCAAAAUCUGAUAGAAAUAAGUUAAAACAAACUGCCAAUGGAGCAAUCUAAAAAGUGAGGGCAAUAAUGUAAGGAAAAUACAAUUUCAGAGUUUUGAAGCUUACACUGGUUUUACGUCUUUUGAUAGGGCCUUUGUGUAAAUUUCAUUUUGCCAUUAGGCUUAAUGAAAUUUAAUGAAUUACCUGGAGCAACAUUGUUUUUUCACGUUUUGGGUGGAGUAAGGUUUACUGGCUGAUCCAUUCCCUGCUGAUUGAGCUUGCUGUUUAGGUUUCAGCUAUGUUUCUUCUAACAUGGAAGCUUGGCGUUGCUCCAAGCUUGCGCUGUGGGUGCCUGGUUCUCCUCACACUUCUAGCAAAUUUCUAGCUGCGUUCUCAAAAGUUUGAGCUACUGAAAAGCACUCAGCUAACCAAAAACACCAAGUAACUCCCACAGCAACUUUCUCUGAAGGAGAAUGGCCAGACUGUUCCCAUCACUCAUUUUAUAUUUGGUUUUGUCAUUUGUUCUGUUGUGUUUACCGGCGCCUAUGGUGACCAUGAGUUUUAGACACAGUGCAAGGAAAAAUGUGGUGGAGUAGCCAGAGAAAUGCAUAUGUUUUCUUUCAUUCAAACAAACAGAAGUGCUACCUGGCAGAAGCCUUAAAACAGAAAUUAUUCUUAACCCACAUGACAUAAGCAAAAUGUUAAUAGUUUUGAGGAAAGUGAGGUAACACAAUUACACUUCUGAAUGAAAAAUACUAUCAUAUGUGGAGGGAAUCUUUUUUCUCUUAGCACUUGACAAGAAGGCUUACAUUCUCAGUAUUCUGGGCUCGCUUGUGUGCUGCUUCUGCCUCUGCUCUUGCGUUUGUAGCUUGAUUCUUGUUCAUCUGCGCUUUUGCCCACAGUGUGGAAAUUUCAUCUUCCAUCUCCGAUUGUUUUGCUGACAAGUCAUUUAACUCAUCGUUUGUCUUGUUCACUUGAUUUUCAGCCUAAAACAGAGCAGUUGAAGGCUGUGAUUUCGUAUGCAACAUCCAUCCAGCUUGCAGAGCGUGGUAAUGGGCAGAAGAGCUUUGGCUGCUUUGCUGAAAUGGAAAAACAGAAGUGUGUGUAGUAUUGUUGUACAGACAGCAAAGCAAGAACAUGUUUUCAAAUGCACCUAUGCUCACAUGCAGAAAUGUUCCCGCAAGUCCAAUGGCCGCCAUUCAAACUGUGGGUUUUAAGUUGGCAAAGCAAAGCCUCACUAAGAGCCUAUCUGUGUGAGCAUGUGAGCUGCUGUAUUCAAAGGUGAGGCUGAGUGCUGCAGGCUGCCUAGUGAUGACUCAUAGCAGGCAGAAGAAGCCAAGAGCUGGCAGAAGCUGCCUCCUUGCAGCAUCAGCUCCUGCAGCCUGGGCAGUCAUGGCUCAUUCCUGCUAGAGAGGCCUUGUGGAAAUGGCAAGCUGAAAUCUGCUGUCAUCUGAACUUUCCCUCCAGCCUGGGCUGUGGAGCAGUCCUAUUAUGCACAGUGUUACCCCAUCUGGAGUUGGCAUGUCACUAUGAAAAUACCAUACUCACUCAGCUUCUUGUGCCUCUAUCAGCAGUGUCUGAGCUUCUUCCUGUUUUCUGUUUCUCCUACUUGUGUUCAAUUUGCACUUCUCACAGUGGUUCAUAAUGUUCCUGAUUUUGUCAAGAAUGCCCAUGAGCUCUUGUGGAGUCAGGGGAAGAUUUAUUUGCAGAACAUAAUUUGCCACCUUGUCAGUGUCUUCUGGAGGUGCACUUUCAUCUGCAACAGAAAUAGAGCUGAGAGUAUCCUGAAGCAGCUCUUUCCUCCAAGUGAAAUGUAGAUUGUUAUUAUGGCUGCCUCCCCUUGGAGUUAUAUGGGAGCAUAAAGCUGACAGUCACAGCAAGGGGGUAAGAGAAUUCUCUCUUAACAUUUUGUAAUUUAAUAUUAUGCUUCCAGGUACUGUUGUUAGUGUUGUCAGAACUGGCUAAAAUGAGGAUCUGAACCCACUUUGAACCGGGUUAUUAAAAUUCUGAUGUAGAACUGAGCCCAUGUAAGGUUUUACAUCAGUGCACAGCACAGCUAGAUGUGUCAGAACCCAUUUCUGCCUUGGCCCCUAGAUCAAAGAGGUGCUGGAGGGACUGGGGUGUGAAUGGAGCUUUCCGAGCUGGCUAGGGAGUGUAAUCCCUUCCCUGGAGUUGCUGCAAUACUGAGAAAGUGCUUCCUUUACUGGUUAAUAAGAAGUUAUAGAGGAAACUUGUGUCAGACUCAGAUAGGAUGGGAAUUUAUAGUGGAAAAAACAUAUUUUGAUAAAUUCCCCUACAAAUGAGCUCAUCGUAAGAGGCACAGGCACGCAGAGCUAGAGGAGUCAGUGCCUUACAAAGUCUCUUUUUUUGUUUUCUGUUCACUUCCCUUUAUAGACAAGUUCUUGGGUGAUAAACCAGUUGAAACAUAUUUAAUGUUUGUGCUAACACUCCAAAGUAACUCAACAAAAAUUAAAUAGAAGUAAUUUACUGUGCAAACAUUAAUGCAUUCCUGAGAGCUAUUUUCUGUAGAAACAUAUCUAAAAUUACUAUCCAUGCCAGUGUACAGUACAGCAGACUUAAUGUGACCUGAUGAUCUUAGAAGUCGUUUCCAGCCUGGUUAAUUCUGUGAUUCUGUGCACAUCUCAGUUGUUACUGUUCUUAAAUUUCAAUUCACAAAACAAAAAUCCAUUAAAAAAUGCUUUUAUA